rnacentral:rRNA from 1 species
CCAAUAGCGUAUAUUAAAGUUGUUGCAGUUAAAAAGCUCGUAGUUGAAUUUCGGGAUCAAUUGAUUGGUCAUGCCUACGGUAUGUACUAGUCAUAUUGGUUCUCACCUUCUAAUGAACCUUAAUGUCAUUCACUUGAUGCUUUGGGGAAUUAGGACUGUUACCUUGAAAAAAUUAGAGUGUUUAAAGCAGGCUUACGCUUGAAUACAUUAGCAUGGAAUAAUGAAAUAGGACAUCGCAUUCUAUUUUGUUGGUUUCUAGGAUCGAUGUAAUGAUUAAUAGGGAUAGUUGGGGGCAUUAGUAUUCAAUUGUCAGAGGUGAAAUUCUUGGAUUUAUUGAAGACUAACUACUGCGAAAGCAUUUGCCAAGGAUGUUUUCAUUAAUCAAGAACGAAAGUUAGGGGAUCGAAGACGAUCAGAUACCGUCGUAGUCUUAACCAUAAACUAUGCCGACUAGGGAUCGGAUGAUGUUGAUUUUUUAAUGACUCAUUCGGCGCCUUACG